CCUACGGGCGGCAGCAGUGGGGAAUAUUGGACAAUGGGGGGAACCCUGAUCCAGCCAUGCCGCGUGUGUGAAGAAGGCCCUCGGGUUGUAAAGCACUUUCAGUGAGGAAGAACGCCUGGUGGUUAAUACCCAUCAGGAAAGACAUCACUCACAGAAGAAGCACCGGCUAACUCCGUGCCAGCAGCCGCGGUAAUACGGAGGGGGCGAGCGUUAAUCGGAAUUACUGGGCGUAAAGCGCGCGUAGGUGGCUUGAUAAGCCGGUUGUGAAAGCCCCGGGCUCAACCUGGGAACGGCAUCCGGAACUGUCAAGCUAGAGUGCAGGAGAGGAAGGUAGAAUUCCCGGUGUAGCGGUGAAAUGCGUAGAGAUCGGGAGGAAUACCAGUGGCGAAGGCGGCCUUCUGGACUGACACUGACACUGAGGUGCGAAAGCGUGGGUAGCAAACAGGAUUAGAUACCCUGGUAGUC
rnacentral:rRNA from 1 species